AACGAAUGCGCUUUUGCCAGGUUCUUGCCUGCUAGAGAAGCAGCCUAGGAAUAGGUCCAACUACAGACAAGGGGUCAAGUCAAGUGCUACUGGUUGGUUGUGUGACCUUA